rnacentral:sRNA from 1 species
CCUCGGCAAUCUGCUGGGGCGCGAUGAAGUGGAUGUGUGAGUCGAUGCCGCCAGCGGUGACGAUCAGGCCUUCGCAGCUGAUGAUCUCUGUGCCGGGUCCGAUGAUGAUGUCCACCCCCGGCUGUGUGUCAGGGUUGCCCGCCUUGCCAAUGGCGGCAAUGCGGUUGCCGCGCAGACCGAUGUCGGCUUUGACGAUGCCCCAGUGGUCGAUGAUGAGCGCGUUGGUGAGCACGCAGUCCAUCGCGCCCUCGGCGUUAGUCCUUUGUGAUUGCGACAUGCCAUCGCGGAUG